rnacentral:piRNA from 1 species
CAAAGUGGAUCCGAGGGUAGAUGUACCU